CGCCGCCACUCACCCGCGCGCCGGCCGAGCCGAGCCGCCGCCGCCACCACCGGGCCGGGCCGGGUCGGGCCUGCGCGCCCCGCGCUACACAAAGUGACGGCCCCAGAGCUGCGCGGCGGCGGCGCGUGGGCACCGGAAGUGCCGCCGCCGGCCCCGCCCCGCCCGCGCACACGGGGGGGGCACUUCCGGUCACGCGGGGUCGAGCGCGGCUCCCGCAGGGGGCGUGCGUGGGGGCAAAGGAAGCUCCGCGCGUGCGGGGGAGCCUUUCGGCCCCGGCCCGCCCCGGGGGACUUCAGUGUCCCAUGCCUGGGGACCGCAGCGCCCUCUGACCCGAGACCCCAACCCCGGGGACCCCGGUGCCCCCUGCCCCGAGACCCCGGUCCCACCCCUGGGGACCCCAUCGCCCCCUGCCUCCAGACCCCAGCCACACCCCUGGGGGCCGCAGCGCCCCCUGCCCCGAGACCCCGGCCCCACCCUGAGGGACCCUGCUGCUCCACCCCUGGGCACCGCAGCUCCCGCUGCCCUGGAGACGCCGGCCCCACCCCUGGGGACCCCGGCGCCCUCUGCCCCUUGAGACGUGCGCGAGGUCCCGCGGCCCUGAGCGCGCGCGCCCCGUCCCGAAACCCGGCUCCCCUUCCUCAUCCGACCAUGAUUCAGGGAGCGGCUGCUGGCUGCCAGACCUGCCCUCGGCACCCUCCCCAGGCCCCACGACGAUGGAGGGAGGCGAUGACCCCCUACGGGGUCUCGUGGAGGCGUCCCUCUGGCCAGCGUGCUGUGAGACUCAGACGAGGUGGGGCGAUCCCUGGCCGCUGAUGGAUCGCCCAGACUGGAACCAGUGGGCCCGGGGUCCACAGCUCACCGGCCCUGCUUCCUGGGCCACUAGUGCGGGCAGGGCCAACGCUGGGUAAGCGUCGGGGAGGGUACCCCGGAAUGGGGGAGGACGAGGACUGAAGGAGCCAGUGGGCCGGGUACCUGAAGGUUUUCGAAGGCACCAGGCUCGCCCCUCAACAGGACCUGCCCUCCAUGAGGUUGUCUCUGCCCAAAUCUCCCCCUCAGCUGACUGCAGUCCUCCAGAGGCCAAGCAGAGAGCUGCUACCCGUGGGCCCCUUGGUUUCCUCCCCUCUCGAAGGGUCUCCUUCCCACAGCCCCUGGGAGCCUGUCUUUCCUCUGGUCCUGUGACAGGCAGAAUCCCCAAACCUCAUCCCGCCCAGGUCACUGAGUGAUACAGGCAUGCGGAGGCCCCACGCUCUGCCCAGUUCAGUGUCUCCCAGGUCAGUGUGAGGCUUGACCUCCCCACACCAGGUGUCCCCUCCCCUGUCCCACAGCUGUGACUUCAGGAGCAAGAUGCACUCAGGUAGACCACACACUGUUCUGUGAGAAUGAAACCCAAGCCGCUUGCUAGGAGCCCCAUAUCUGUGUUUAUUUUACAUCAAAUACAUAUGAUUCCCCGCUUUUGUGACCCCACCUGACCCCGUUCCUUCCGGGUCUGCUCUCCACCGGACCCGGGUUGCAUGCUUGAGUGUGGGCCUUGCCAACGGCCUCAGACUGGCUGAGCCUCUGCAGAUGACCCUCCCCUGGGCCCGACGUUGCCUUUGUACCUACUCGGGGUAGUGCUAGGCUGUCCCAAAUGGGCCACACCUGGGCCUCUCAAGUCCUAAAGUCAGCUGGCCUUGACCCUUCCAGCCACCUAAGUGCGGAGCUCCCAGGGUCAGGGCUGGCUGCCCCAGGCACCUGUGGGCUUGGCCCCUGAUGGGUGGGCCUCCCUUCACACGGUGCUGGAGAGCAGGGGAGCCUGGUUCAGCCUUGACUCUCCCUCUAUCCCUCCCCUUUACUCCCUCCUGCAGCCAUGUUCCGGAAAGUGCCGUGUGCUUGACUGCUUGGGUCUUGGGAAUCUCACAGUCCUGCCAAGGCCUGGCCACUGGCCCUCCCUGGCUGCCCCUUCCCGGGGGUUCUCAGGUCCUCAGCAACAUCCCUCACUCCCUCCGUGGCCAGCAGCCUGAUCCCUGCUUUUCCUCGGUUCUCAUCGGGGAUUCUUGAUCGGGUUCUAGAGGUUGGGAAGUCCAAGAUCAAGGCGUUGGCAGAUCCAUUGUCUGAGAGAGCCUCUCCCUGCCCCAGUCUCUCCCUCGGAUUUCUGCAUCUGCCCAGGCCCUGAGUCCAUCCUUGCCUCCUGCCUGGCAGUGCAGGGCAGCCUAGGGGAAAGGGCGGACAGGAGGAGCAGAGAUGACAAGCAGAAAGAAACAGCCAGGAGUGGGGUCUGGCCUGCAGACAGACGAGGCACGAGGGGUGAGAAAGACUCCCUCCUUGACCCAACUUGUUAUCUGAACCUCAUCUCAAUUAGGCCUUGAUUUUUUGGCUUCCAUGUCUGUCUUUGCAUCACCCAGUUUUAGCAAAAAUCCCAUCAAGUCGGUUUAGCCAGAAUCUCCAUCCUCGAUAUUUGAUCACCCUCCAUAUCUGAUCGAAGUCUCCCCACACCAUCCCCAGGAGAGUUCUGGUCACCCUGGCCUGCCUUCAGCAAGAAUCCAGUAGGGUCUGUUUAACCAGA
ensembl:lncRNA